CCUACGGGAGGCAGCAGUGGGGAAUAUUGGGCAAUGGGCGCAAGCCUGACCCAGCAACGCCGCGUGAAGGAAGAAGGCUUUCGGGUUGUAAACUUCUUUUCUCAGGGACGAAGCAAGUGACGGUACCUGAGGAAUAAGCCACGGCUAACUACGUGCCAGCAGCCGCGGUAAUACGUAGGUGGCAAGCGUUAUCCGGAUUUACUGGGUGUAAAGGGCGGUUAGGGGGGACAGCAAGUCAGAUGUGAAAACCAUGGGCUCAACCUGUGGCCUGCAUUUGAAACUGUUUUUCUUGAGUACUGGAGAGGCAGACGGAAGUCCUAGUGUAGCGGUGAAAUGCGUAGAUAUUAGGAGGAACACCAGUGGCGAAGGCGGUCUGCUGGACAGCAACUGACGCUGAGGCGCGAAAGCGUGGGGAGCAAACAGGAUUAGAUACCCCGGUAGUC
rnacentral:rRNA from 1 species